rnacentral:rRNA from 1 species
UAUAGAGGUCUCAAGCGUUGUUCGGAUUCAUUGGGCGUAAAGGGUGCGUAGGCGGCGCGGUAAGUCGGGUGUGAAAUCUCGGAGCUUAACUCCGAAACUGCAUUCGAUACUGCCGUGCUUGAGGACUGGAGAGGAGACUGGAAUUUACGGCGUAGCGGUGAAAUGCGUAGAUAUCGUAAGGAAGACCAGUGGCGAAGGCGGGUCUCUGGACAGUUCCUGACGCUGAGGCACGAAGGCCAGGGGAGCAAACGGG